rnacentral:rRNA from 1 species
GACGAACGCUGGCGGCGUGCUUAACACAUGCAAGUCGAACGCUGAAGCUCAGCUUGCUGGGUGGAUGAGUGGCGAACGGGUGAGUAACACGUGAGUAACCUGCCCCCUUCUUUGGGAUAACGCCCGGAAACGGGUGCUAAUACUGGAUAUUCACUGAUCUUCGCAUGGGGGUUGGUGGAAAGGUUUUUUCUGGUGGGGGAUGGGCUCGCGGCCUAUCAGCUUGUUGGUGGGGUGAUGGCCUACCAAGGCUUUGACGGGUAGCCGGCCUGAGAGGGUGACCGGUCACAUUGGGACUGAGAUACGGCCCAGACUCCUACGGGAGGCAGCAGUGGGGAAUAUUGCACAAUGGGCGAAAGCCUGAUGCAGCGACGCCGCGUGAGGGAUGGAGGCCUUCGGGUUGUAAACCUCUUUCGCUCAUGGUCAAGCCGCAACAGUGGUUGUGGUGAGGGUAGUGGGUAAAGAAGCGCCGGCUAACUACGUG